rnacentral:tRNA from 1 species
GGUGCUGUGGCGCAGUCGGUUAAAGCACUGGCCUGAAAUGCCAGCAUCCCAUAUGGGCACUGGUUCUAGUCCCGGCUGCUCCA